AAAAAAUAAUAAAAGCUAAUAAAAAGAUAAUAUUGAAAGAGUUUACAAAAAUAUAAAGUAAAUUAAGAGUAAGUAAAUUUGAGAAUUAAUAAGCAAGACCAAGGUUCUUCGAGAAAUGAUGAUGUUGGUGAGGAUUAUCUAAAAUUAACAGCAGUUGAUACAACUUUAUGAGAUAUGUAUACAACUAAUAAUAAAAAAAUCAAAACCAAUCAUCUCGAAAAAUUUUCUAAAGAAAAAAUGCCUGAAAAUAAUGAAGAAAAAAUCCCUGAAAAUAAUGGAAAACAAAGUAAUUGUGAAAAAGUCGAUUUCACAUCCAAUGAAGAUAUUUCUGCAAUGCAACCUGGCCAGUCGGUAGAGUUAAUUGGAUUCGUGGAUGAAGUUGAAGCAUCUCAUUUAGCUGGUUCUCACUUUGUUUUCAAAUUUUUGUUGAAUAACAACAAUGGCAAAAGAGUUCAAAUUGCUGCAUGGAGAGGAGGUAAAAAGAACGGAGGCACUUAUAUCAACUUACAAGAUAAUUUAUUUGGAGGGUGCAAAGACGAAGAAUGUUAAUAAUUACACUUCUGGAAAUGUGAGAAAUGUUGAAGUUCAUGUUAUUAAUUCUACAAUUAUUCAAGUAUUGGGAAUGAUGGAUAAGAAUGCGAUACGAGCAAUAUCAUUUUAUGAUUCAAAUGUCGAGUAUCCUAUGAUUCAGCUGAAGGAUAUACAAGGAAACUUGUAACCAGUAAUUUUGCGUACCUGUGGAUACUUGAAAACCGCAUUUUCAGUGAAAAAAUCCUCGAUGUCUACAAGGAAUGAGGCAUUUAGUUACGUAACCGACCGUGGUUUGCAAUUAGAGAUCAAAGUUUCAAAUUAUACUGACAGUGUACUAAAGCAAGGUGAUCACGUAGAAGUGAUUGGGACUCCCAAAGUCAUUGAUGAUUCCUUGGUUUUGAAAAUUGAGUCUGUUAAUCAGAUCCGGAAAAUUGAUGAAGAAACUAAACCGCUCGUAUGGCUUUUGAGAGGAAAGAACAGUAUUCCUUUGUCUGAAUAUAAUAAGCGUCAAAAAUUGAAUCAGCUUGAAGAAGAAAUUAGAUAAACUAAAAUUUUGAAGAAUAUAUUAAUUGAAAAAAAAUCUAUUUAAGACAAAUUAUCGAAAUGUUUGUUUUAAAUGUUGUCAACAUAGAAAAAAUAAUUUAAAAAAGAAGUUAUCUUCCAGAGAAAUUAUUAAUGUUCGUUUUAAACGUUGUCAGCAUAUAAAAAAAAUAAAUUACAAGAUGUUCAUUUCUAA